UACGAAGGUGGCAAGCGUUGUUCGGAUUCACUGGGCGUACAGGGUGUGUAGGCGGUUUGGUAAGCCUUCUGUUAAAGCUUCGGGCCCAACCCGGAAAGCGCAGAGGGUACUGCCAGGCUAGAGGACGGGAGAGGAGCGCGGAAUUCCCGGUGUAGCGGUGAAAUGCGUAGAGAUCGGGAGGAAGGCCGGUGGCGAAGGCGGCGCUCUGGAACGUUACUGACGCUGAGACACGAAAGCGGUGGGGAGCAAACAGG
rnacentral:rRNA from 1 species